rnacentral:rRNA from 1 species
UACGUAGGUGGCAAGCGUUGUCCGGAUUUACUGGGCGUAAAGAGCGCGCAGGCGGUCGUUUAAGUCGAAUGUGAAAGCCCCCGGCUCAACUGGGGAGGGUCAUUCGAUACUGAUCGACUUGAAGGCAGGAGAGAGAAGUGGAAUUCCCGGUGUAGUGGUGAAAUGCGUAGAUAUCAGGAGGAACACCAAUGGCGAAGGCAGCACUCUGGGACGUGACUGACGCUGAGACGCGAAAGCGUGGGGAGCAAACAGG